AUAUGCAGCCACACCCCCUGAGAACGCCCCAGCUCCUCUGCUCUGGGAAGCUAAGCAGGGUCGGCCCCGGUCAGUGCUUGGAUGGGAGACCACAGGAAAGCCAAUGGGGCCUGGG
rnacentral:rRNA from 1 species